GACGAACGCUGGCGGCGUGCUUAACACAUGCGAGUCGAACGGAAAGGCCCCUUUGGGGGUACUCGAGUGGCGAACGGGUGAGUAACACGUGAGUAACCUGCCCUUGACUUCGGGAUAACUUCAGGAAACUGGGGCUAAUACCGGAUAGGAAUCCUUGCUGCAUGGUGGGGGUUGGAAAGCUUCGGCGGUUUUGGAUGGACUCGCGGCUUAUCAGCUUGUUGGUGGGGUAGUGGCUUACCAAGGCUUUGACGGGUAGCCGGCCUGAGAGGGCGACCGGCCACAUUGGGACUGAGAUACGGCCCAGACUCCUACGGGAGGCAGCAGUGGGGAAUAUUGCACAAUGGGCGGAAGCCUGAUGCAGCAACGCCGCGUGCGGGAUGACGGCCUUCGGGUUGUAAACCGCGUUCAGCAGGGGCGAAGCUUGUGGUGACGGUACCUGCAGAAGAAGCACCGGCUAACUACGUG
rnacentral:rRNA from 1 species